rnacentral:rRNA from 1 species
UGAGGCUCGAAAGUGUGGGUAUCAAACAGGAUUAGAUACCCCUGGUAGUCCACACGGUAAACGACGAAUACUCGCUGUUUGCGAUAUACGGCAAGCGGCCAAGCGAAAGCGUUAAGUAUUCCACCUGGGGAGUACGCCGGCAACGGUGAAACUCAAAGGAAUUGACGGGGGCCCGCACAAGCGGAGGAACAUGUGGUUUAAUUCGAUGAUACGCGAGGAACCUUACCCGGGCUUAAAUUGCACUCGAAUGAUCCGGAAACGGUUCAGCUAGCAAUAGCGAGUGUGAAGGUGCUGCAUGGUUGUCGUCAGCUCGUGCCGUGAGGUGUCGGCUUAAGUGCCAUAACGAGCGCAACCCUUGUUGUCAGUUACUAACAGGUGAUGCUGAGGACUCUGACAAGACUGCCAUCGUAAGAUGUGAGGAAGGUGGGGAUGACGUCAAAUCAGCACGGCCCUUACGUCCGGGGCUACACACGUGUUACAAUGGGGGGUACAGAGGGCCGCUACCACGCGAGUGGAUGCCAAUCCCUAAAACCCCUCUCAGUUCGGACUGGAGUCUGCAACCCGACUCCACGAAGCUGGAUUCGCUAGUAAUCGCGCAUCAGCCACGGUGCGGUGAAUACGUUCCCGGGCCUUGUACACACCGCCCGUCAAGCCAUGGGAGCCGGGGGUACCUGAAGUGCGUAACCGCGAGGAUCGCCCUAGGGUAAAACUGGUGACUG